GGGAUGACCGUGUCCAGGGGUGCUGAAGUAGCCGCCAGCUUUUGGUUUGAUGUGCCUGUUAUGCAUUUCCAUGUGCACAAUUUUCAUGAACUCAAUUUGAGCUGCCAACUUCUGAAUCUCUUCCUGGGGAUCGAAGUUGGUGAAUUGUCCGGAGAGUUUUCGUUAAACAAUGGCCGGUCUAAUCUGGAUCGAAAAUUUAUACGGGGGGAAUAAACGGUGUACCUUGAGCUCCUCGUUCUCUUGGGACAAGUCAGCUGUUUCUUCCGGUACCAGACCGAUACCAUUCAAGGAAAAACUUGCGCUGACUCCGGCCCUCCCUCUGGCCCUGCUAUCCCACUGGUCUCCGUGUCCUCGGAGCACGCGAAUUACCUGUAGCAUUUCCCAGUUUUCCGGAGGGGGAUCUUGAGCGAUGCCGGGGCAGCGUGGCUCAACCUACCUUGGGACCAAAGACGAGAAAUACUGUCACCGAAGUGGAGAGUUGCGUACGCACGAAACCCAACAGCAGAAACAGUGAAGACCGACCCCCGCGUGCAAGGACUAACGACAUUCGUGGCGAUGCCGAUUGGUUUAAAUUUGAGGGAAAAUUGUGACCUACUGAAUAGCAACCAUGGCAGUGUUGACCACAGCGAUGUUGUA